GUCGAAGUUUUUCGUUGUCUCCUUCGUACAGUCUGCGAAUUAUAACGAGAUUUGAUCAGUAUGACGCGCUUGCUGGAUAUAUAAACUUGUUUGCGUUCUAGUUUCGAGUUGGCUAUAUAAGUAAUCGGAUUAUUCACCGACUAUUAAUUUACUCACCAUUCAAUAAAUCGAUCACAUUGGGAUUCAAAUUAGACACUCUAUCUCCUAUUAUCGCUAUAAAAUUGGACAUUUUUGCGGAUAACUUUUCUAUGUCGGUGUAAAGUCCAACAAGAAAUUCGAGUCUUUGAGGAUUUUCCAAUUCCGAGCUAUGACUGGUUUCAUUGACCGUUACGACAGGCCAGGCCUGAAAUGGUUGUUAGAAAUAUACUAUAAAACUUGGUCGCGCAAAACAAUUUUCAGAAACUGCAAUAAUUACCUGUUUCAAAGACGUCCGACACCAUCCCUGGUAUCUCGAGCACAGUUGAAGGCACAAUUUCCAAAAUCUGAAAUUAUAUAGAGUACGUGUUUAUAAACAUGCUGAAUUGCAAGCUUUGCAAGUGAGAGAUGAUUGCUAGUAUUACCUAUGAAGAAGCUGAGGAAGGUAAACAUCGUCUGCCCAUAUCCUCUGGAGACAGUCCCAGACAAUACACGUGGCAUGCAGGGUAAAACUGUCUGGACGCAUGGAACUCUUGUUCUUACGUAUUGAAACUGAAGAUACAUUACCGGCUAGUAUGCUUUCAGCAGUGCCCGCAAUUUCUUGAAAUCUUAUUUGGUAAUAGACUGGUAGAUUCCAUUUAUUUAGAAACCUGUUAUACUGUGGAUGGCUUUUCAAGCGAUCGACAUUCUCAGCUGUGCAGCAUCUCUUUUCCAAGCACAGAAGGUAAUCUAGGGUUUGUACAUAUCUCUGAAGGUGCAAAUAUUAUUGGCAAAUAGUCUUCUAUUCUCUGUUCUACUUCUGGCCAAUAGCUAUUGACUAUAAAGUUAAAGCCUUUUACAGAUAUUCUGAAAGAAUGAAGAUGCAUGAAUGAUAUUAUUUUCAAAGCAAUCAAUAAUGCUACAAUAAUGUAUUACCUGUCUGGAUUUAAUGUCAAGUCUAAUAGUUCUUUUAAAGUACUAUCUAAGACAUUCUCUAAUUUUUGGUAAGUUCCUUUCAAUCCUUGUGAAUCAUUUUGAAGACUGUAUUCACUGAUAAUAUGUUCAACAGCAGGCACUACGAUCUUUUUUCUGACUACGUCCUCUGCAUCCGUUACCUUGUCGAGACUUACAUAUAUUCUUAAACAUCGAAUUAAAGACGCAGAUUCUUUUUGGGUUAUGUAGGCAACUAGAAGUGCACUUAAACUGGCUUUCAGGCGGUCAUCCAUUUCGCUCAUUUUCUAAAUAAUAAAAAUACAGUUUUUAAUGCAUUCACUUUGUAUCUAUAGUGUAAAAUUAAACAAAAUGCAAAUCUACUAUUACUCACAUUUGUUUGCUCUGUUGACAGGUCAGAUUUACAGCGGCUCAAGUGAAAUUUCAAUUGAUUAAAUUCUGUUGCAGCUCGCUCUAAGAUAUCCGGUUUUAGAGGAACCUUCAACGUAUCACAGGAACAAAGGAUAUUGCAUAGUUUGGUUAUUGAUUUGUGGAACCUAAUUAAACUAUGUAUACUCUGCUUUUUUUCUCUGAUAUUUUUAUGCUUAUCCAAAUUAUUGGUCAUCUCUGUUAUCGUGUCAUCCAAAGAUUGUCUGACUUGCUGCAAAUAAUGAAUAUGUGUAAAUAAAGAGAAAUAACCAA